GGGGUGAGUAGAGCGGCGGACGGGUGAGUAAUGCGUGAACAACCUGCCUUUAGGACUGGGAUAACUAUGGGAAACUUUAGCUAAUACCGGAUAAGACCACGAUUUCUACGGAUUUUGAGGUAAAAGGUGGCCAGCUUGCUGGCUAUCACCUUUAGAUGGGUUCACGUUCCAUCAGGUUGUUGGUGAGGUAACGGCUCACCAAGCCUAAUACGGAUAGUUGGCCUCAGCGGGUGGCCAACCACACGGGGACUGAGACACGGCCCCGACUCCUACGGGAGGCAGCAGUGAGUAAUUUUGGGCAAUGGGCGAAAGCCUGACCCAGCGACUUCUCGUGGGGGAUGAAGGCCUUCGGGUCGUAAACCCUUGUCAUAGGGGAAGAUGGGUAUGUGUGCUAAUACCACACAUACUUGACGGUACCCUAAAAGGAAGCCCCGGCUAACUCCGUGCC
rnacentral:rRNA from 1 species